rnacentral:rRNA from 1 species
CUUGCUUGAUAAGUUUUUUGUGAAAUUCUGUCUCUUAAGGGCAGAGCGCGCAGGAACUACUGUCAAGCUAGAGACUGGAAGACGUAAAGAGUACGAUCAAAGUAGUGGUAAAAUACUUUAAUCUUGGUCGGACUAACAAUAAGCGAAGGCACUUUACGAGGACAGUUCUGACAGUAAGGGAUGAAGGCUAGGGGCGCAAAAAGGAUUAGAUACCCUUGUAGUCCUAGCAGUAAACACUGCACACUAAACAUUAGUACCUCCUCGAGAGGUAUUGGUGCUGAAGCGAAGGCGAAGAGUGUGCUACCUGGGAAGUAUAGUCGCAAGGCCGAAACUUAAAGGAAUUGGCGGGGGAGCAC